UAGAUCAGUGAUGACACAGGUGAUAUAUGAUCCAUGGAGCAUGACUACAGGUCUGGGAGUCUGAACUUCAC